rnacentral:rRNA from 1 species
AUGGAGGAGCAGACCAAGGCGAUCGUGGAUCUGACAGCGGCCAUCUCGGCGAUGUCGGCCAAGAUCGACGCGAUCCACCCGGUUGUGAUCGAUCUCCAAGGGUGGAAGCCGGCAAUCGAGCGAUCGGUGGACGAGCUCCGCGCGGAGGUGGGCGAUCUGCGGGGGCUGCUGCAGGACAAGGGCAAGGGCGCGGAAGGCGCACCAACGCCUCCCAUGCCGUCGCAGCCACCUCUUCCACCACCACUCCGGCUUCUGGACUUGCCGCCCUUGAUCCCUCAAGCGGCGGAGGCGAGCCUCGUGUGGCCCUCCGACGGCCCGCCAGUGCAAGGUGGUGGCAACCACGGGCCAAUCGGCCACGGCAGGACUGCAGAUCACCGGGGGAUGUCUCCGGGGUACCGAUCCCCACGGGCGCCUCCGGUCACGGGUGAUCAAGCGAGUGGGGCAAGUGGCUUACAAGCUCAGGCUGCUGGCAACAUGCACCAUCCACCCCGUCUUCCACGUCUCGCAGCUUCGGCGCGCCCUUCCUCCCACGGAGCAGGCGCUGCCCGACUUACCGGAGGACGCGGCGCCAAGUCCCAUUCCGGAGGAGAUCCUCGACAACCGCCUCCAUGCUCGCGACAUGACUCAAGUGGAGCAAGUGCUAGUGCGCUGGACGGCUUAACCAGCGUCGCUAGCAACCUGGGAAGACCGGGAGGAACUACAUCAGCACUAUCCAGGAGCACUAGCUUGGGGACAAGUUGUUUCUGA